UACGGGGGGGGCAAGCGUUGUUCGGAAUUACUGGGCGUAAAGGGCUUGUAGGUGGCCAACUAAGUCAAACGUGAAAUCCCUCGGCUUAACCGGGGAACUGCGUCUGAUACUGGAUGGCUGGAGUUUGGGAGAGGGAUGCGGAAUUCCAGGUGUAGCGGUGAAAUGCGUAGAUAUUGGGAGGAACACCAGUGGCGAAGGCGGCUCACUGGACCGGAACUGACGCUGAGGCGCGAAAGCGUGGGGAGCAAACAGG
rnacentral:rRNA from 1 species